CACGGGGGGAGCAAGCGUUGUUCGGAAUCACUGGGCGUAAAGGGCGUGUAGGCGGUCAGGUAAGUGGGAUGUGAAAUGCCCCGGCUCACCCGGGGACCGGCAUCCCAUACUGCUUGGCUUGAGUACGGGAGAGGAUGUGGGAAUUCCUGGUGUAGCGGUGAAAUGCGUAGAUAUCAGGAGGAACACCUGAGGCGAAGGCGGGCUACUGGGCUGAUACUGACGCUGAUGCGCGAAAGCCAGGGGAGCGAACGGG
rnacentral:rRNA from 1 species